ACUGGGCCUGCGCGGCCCCCGAGCCCCGCCCCUGGGGCGUUUCAGGGAGGAAGAGGGCCGCGGAGUGGUUUCCAAGGCUUUCGCAGAGCCGCGAAGAUUGGGGGUGGGGAGGAAGACCGGCAAGUCCUCCUCCCCCGUUCACGCCCCCACCGCGAUUGAGACGGCAGGGGACUAGGAGCGGGAACCAAGGAGGCGAGGAGGAGAGUACCAACAUCCCAAAUCGUUUGAGCGAGUUUUAGCCGAGCAGACGGCAGACAAAUAAUUGCAUGGGUCAGAAAACCUUGUAAUCCGAAACUGCGGCGUCUCCAGUAUUUUGGUACAGGUGGGGUUUACAGGAGGCUAGCAGUGUGGAAGUCGAGGUCAUCGCAUUUUACUUACUUAAAGCUCUUGCUAAGUACUCGUGUGUCAGGGACUAUCCUGAGCGCUUUACAAAUUUACACAUUGUGAGUACAAAAUUUAAAUGGUGGUAUCGUUUUCAUGCCCAUUUUACAAAAGAGGAAACUAAGGCUCAGAAAUGUUCCCAAUUUCCACAGCUAAUAAAUGGGAGAAAGGGCCAGAUUUAGCGCCACUGGAUGUAAAUAUUGAAAAGGAUUUGGUCUAGCCUCUGACUCGCCUGUGCUCAAACAUUACCUGAACUCAUCGCCUCCCUAACCGCACCCCACCCCAUGGAGUCUUUGCUGUCAGUUGAAUAGGCUAACAGGAAAACGGUGUUUCAGAUUUUUCUUGGCUUCUGCUACCUCAAAUGAAGCACGAGACACACACACACAUGCACUCUCUCUCCCCGCGCCGACUCCCUACUCUCUCCCUCCCAGCUCCCCCAACUCUCUCCCCCGCAUCCCCGCCCCACUCUCCCCCCCGGCACCCUUCCCCCACCCUAGCGGCACGAAGUUGUUUGAUUUGCAGAUGAGGUUCUUAAGCACAAAGGUCUUGUUUGGUAUUGGGUUUCCGUUUGGGUUGGGGUUUUGAUUGGUUUAUUUAUUUUCUCAAUCAAGAAGAUACUCAAAUUACACAGUCUCCCAAAGAAUUUCUUGGGCAGCCUGACCAUGAAUUUCACUGUGGAAGGGCAGAUGCACACUUCAGAAAGGAAUUAAGAAUUUCUCUGAGGCUAAUCAAUUUAUCAACAAUGAUUUCUUGACAGACUUCUUGGGAACAUGGUGUUUAGGUGCCAAUUCUUUAUAGGGCAACAAGGAGAUUAUAUUUCCUCUGCUGAAAGGCACAGCAGUCAAGUCACAUACUUGCUGAACGUCCUCCAAAAGGAGAUAGUUCUGCUAGAGGGCCAGCAAAAUAUAAAGACAUAACAGGCUUGUUUCCUCCUCUUCAGAAGGCAACGUUUCAUUCAUUAUUAACUGAGUGCCUCGCGUGUGCUCAGUAGUGGGAAUGAAAGGCAAAGCUAAAGUCAGUAUUCAGAUAUAAGAUAGAAAACACUGUUCCUGCCUGGGGAAUCUUACAGUCUUGCUUGGGAGAUAAAAUUUAUACCCAUUAAACAAUGAGAGGUUAAGACAAGGUAGUAAUCAGUUGUUAAAUUGGGCAGAGCAAGCUGUUAGAGCAAUAACAGCAGUACGAAACCACGAACAAAUUAACAAAUCACUGGUUCCAAGCUUCUUUAAACAAAGAUGAUACGGGCUUCUUCCUGUCUUUAAAAAUAGAUGUUGGCACUGAGAUGAUACUAGAUUGGGAGUUAUGAUUAUUUAUUCCUCUUACUGGAGCCACAAAAGAGUUAUGGAGCUAGAAAACCUGCAAGCGUUAAAGAGACCUCUCUGAGGCAGGUCAGAGUUCAGCAAGAAACCCUCCAUCUCCUAUUAUUUUUGUGAUGGGUACCAAAGUUUCCGACUGUUAAAUGGGUAAUGCAUCUUCUGGCUGAACAGAGGAAUAGUUAGCACUAUGUAUCUAGCAUAAAUCUAGGUACAGAAAAGAGAUAGUCCACUGCUUUGGAAGAAUCUCUAGAAUUACAGAUGCUAUAAUUUGCAAGCCAAAUGUAAACACAAGGUUUCAGUUGAGGCAAUUCUUUCCUUUUCUUUUCCGGUUUCCGGUUCCACCUCCAAGUUUAUGCUUUCCCUUUCCUUACUUCCAGCCAAAUUCUAUUCAAAAUCCACUGUGACCCCUUUACCCUGACACCUAACUAUUCCUACAGCCUGAUUUAUACCUUUUAACGUUCAAACCUCACGAUUUACCACUUAUUUACAGAAUGUCUUUCUUGUCUAAUUAUCACCUAUUCAUGACUCUUGCCUGGAAAAUCCCAUGAACGGAGGAGCCUGGUAAGCUACAGUCCAUGGAGUCUCAAAGACACGACUGAGCGACUUCACUUCACGACUUCCAACCGUCUAAUAGCCAGCAGGUUUCCAGAAGGGAAACUGAGGAGUAAUGUAAUAAAGCCAGCCCCGCAGUCGUUGGUGACAAGAGACUGAAAUAACAGGUCAGCUUUCGCGCGGUGCCGGCACACAGAUACAGAGUCAACCCGAAGGAGCACUAUCCCCAGGAUCUGGGCGUGAAUCUGAGCGUGUUCCUGGCUUAGGAAAAUCUCAUCGCACCUUUGCAGAACAGUUUGAUUUCAUCUUCCGACAAAUCCCUAACUCUGUAGUGCGCGUCCAGCACAGACGCACACUAGGAUCCGUCCACUCGGCCCUUCCCCAUCAUAGAAGUAAAUCCGCCCGUCUCAAGAGUCUGGCUCCAAUCGCAUCUCCUUUUUCUCCCCUUCCUUCC